GUCUCCCACAGCAACAUGUUUGUAAGGAGCAUGAGGUUUUGUCUGGCCAGCAACUCAGUAACCAGAAGAGUAACUCCAGUCUGGAUCAUGACAACCAAGAGCUUCGACUGAUUACAGAUGAACAGGAAGAACUCUGCACCAGCCUGGACCAGGAGGACCUGGAGCCUCCAAUGAUUACAGAGGAACAGGAGGAAUUCUGUACUAAUCAGGAGGGAGAACAGCUUGUUGUGAAGCAGGAGACUGAUACCUUUAUGGUGACUGUUACUUAUGAGGAAAGUGACCACAGUGAUCCAGAACAAACAGUGACCAGCUCCUCUCUUACAAUUCCUCUGUAGCUGAGAGUCCAGAUCAGGAAGGAAUCAAGCAGGCAGGCCCACAAUUAACUAGAAAUGCAGUGCUAAGGUCAACAGAGAGACGUGACAGAAACAGCAGUCACAGUAAGAAUGUAGACAGCUCUCCCAUGUCAGAGAGUCACUGUGAUACUGAUACAGGCAAAAAGUCAGUACCAUGUGAUAUCUGUGGAAAAACCUUUAAAGGUAAGUCCAAAUUGAAGGAACAUCACAGAAUUCACACAGGUGAGAAGCCAUUUCAUUGUGAAACAUGUGGAAAAGUGUUCAGUCAAAGUUGUAAAUUGAAAGUCCACAUGAGAACUCACACAGGUGAGAAGCCGUACCUUUGUAACACCUGUGGAAAGAGAUUUAGUGAUGUUUCAGCAUUUAAAAAGCAUUCAGCAACUCACACAGGUGAGAAGCUGUACUCUUGUACAACCUGUGGGAAAAGUUUCAGUCAAAGUGGUAGUUUGAAAGUCCACAUGAGAACUCACACAGGAGAGAGACCUUACCCUUGUAACAUCUGUUUCAGAAGAUAUAGUGGAAUAUAAUGGCUGAAAAAGCACAUGUCAAUUCACACAGGUGAUAAACCUUUUGUUUGUAACACCUGGAAAAGCGUUUUCUGACACAUCAGUGUUUAAAAGGCAUGCAGCAAUCCACAAAGGAGAGAAGCCAUUUUCUAGUGAAAUAUGUGGAAACAGUUUUAGUCGUGGGGAUCAUUUAUUACUCCACAUGAGAAUCCACACAGGUGACAAACCAUACAUUUGUAACACCUGUGGAAAAAUAAAUUUAGUGACCUUCCAGCAUUUAAAAGUCACACAACAAAACUGUGUUGAAUCUGGAAGUUUAUGUCUUUUCUGUGAUUCAGGAACAGCUCAGCUCCUCACUGAAACUCUCCUUUAGCUGAAAACCACAACCAUCAUGAAUAUUGGUUGGACACUGAUUAGUUGUUUUAGCAGCAACUUGUAAAACAAGAAAAGCACUCAGAGAGUGCAGACCUCCGCCAAGGAUAGAGAGGAAAACAGGAAACCCAUGCAGUAAAGGAUCAUGAGCUGGAAUUGAACCUGCAUCUCCGACACAGUUCUGUUUAUGAAUCACCUUCUUAAUCAGUUGAGCUAUCUGGACACCUUGUUCCAGUUUGUUGGACGACAUACUAACCUAUGAUGUUUUUGUCAUAUUUUGAACCACAUACUAAACCACAUACUAAAAAAUUCAAAGUGAUCCAGAAUCCAGGAUCCUUUCCGGAUUGCCACCAAAAUUAAAUCAGCUCUUCCUCUUACCAUAGUCGACAUCCCCUCAAAAUUUCAUCUGAAUCUGCGAAGGCGUCUUUGAGUUAUCUUGCUAACAGACGGACAGACAGACACACAAACGCUGGGUAUCACAUAACCUCCUUGGCGGAGGUAAUUAUGUUCAAUCAACAAAAGUAAUUUAUUUUCAACAAACAUGAGUACAUUGUGUUGAUUCAAAGAAACUGAAUUUUUCUUCAAUAAAGGGAAUUCAAAUCUUUCAUCAUUUUGCAUAAUUUGCUCAUUUUAUUGUGGCGUUAUUUGUUGGUUUAUUAUUUCAGUGUCAAAUGUUUUUGGAAUUCCAGUAAAAUGUGACAUUAAAUCGAUUAACAAAAGGAAUGUAAAUAUUUAAACUGAUUUUAAAUAUAAACAAAAUGAAACAGUCAGCAAUCAGUUAUUUCUGUUUUAUUUCUAAUGUUUUUAGUUUUUCUCUUUUUUUCACAUUAUACAUUCUUGUCCCCAUCGACAAUGAUGACAGUUUUGUUGAAAGCCUUUAUUCCAGAUCUUGGAUAAACACCAGUUUUAACACUUUACAUGUUAAAAUGUCAAAUGUUUUCUACCCAGAAGGUCUGUGGAUCCCAGUGUUUUAACCUGAUGACACCAAUUUGUUUCAUUAUCAAACUGUCUUGUGUCUCCGUCUGUCAUUUCAACCAGUGAUGUUCUUAAGAAGAAUGACAUUUUGUACCAUGAACUUUUCCAGAGUUAUUGUUCUGAGCCGAUUUAUUAAAAUCCAAACAUGCUCA